AUUGAACGCUGGCGGCAUGCCUAACACAUGCAAGUCGAACGGCAGCAUGAGUGGAGCUUGCUCUACUUGAUGGCGAGUGGCGGACGGGUGAGUAAUAUGUAGGAAUCUACCUAGAGGAGCGGGAUAACUUAGGGAAACUUAAGCUAAUACCACAUAAUCCCCACGGGGGAAAGCAGGGGAUCUUCGGACCUUGCGCCUUAUGAUGAGCCUACAUCGGAUUAGCUAGUUGGUGAGGUAAAGGCCUACCAAGGCGACGAUCCGUAGCUGGUCUGAGAGGAUGACCAGCCACACUGGGACUGAGACACGGCCCAGACUCCUACGGGAGGCAGCAGUGGGGAAUAUUGGACAAUGGGGGCAACCCUGAUCCAGCAAUGCCGCGUGAGUGAAGAAGGCCUUCGGGUUGUAAAGCUCUUUUGUCAGGGAAGAAACAGCAGCUCUAACACAGUUUGCGAAUGACGGUACCUGAAGAAUAAGCACCGGCUAACUACGUGCCAGCCGCCGCUGUAA
rnacentral:rRNA from 1 species